rnacentral:rRNA from 1 species
AGCUCCAAUAGCGUAUAUUAAAGUUGCUGCAGUUAAAAAGCUCGUAGUUGGAUCUUGGGAGCGGGCGGGCGGUCCGCCGCGAGGCGAGCCACCGCCCGUCCCCGCCCCUUGCCUCUCGGCGCCCCCUCGAUGCUCUUAGCUGAGUGUCCCGCGGGGCCCGAAGCGUUUACUUUGAAAAAAUUAGAGUGUUCAAAGCAGGCCCGAGCCGCCUGGAUACCGCAGCUAGGAAUAAUGGAAUAGGACCGCGGUUCUAUUUUGUUGGUUUUCGGAACUGAGGCCAUGAUUAAGAGGGACGGCCGGGGGCAUUCGUAUUGCGCCGCUAGAGGUGAAAUUCUUGGACCGGCGCAAGACGGACCAGAGCGAAAGCAUUUGCCAAGAAUGUUUUCAU